rnacentral:lncRNA from 1 species
UCUUUUGUUACUGCAAGAAGCUGGCUUUUUGUUUGACAUGUAUAAAUUUAAACAAAUCAAUACUCUUAUUUCAGAUAGAGCUGAUACAUAAAAUAAUAUAAGAUUAUCGGGUGUUGCUCACGUUUAUACGAGAUUUAUUUGUCGUGGAUCCAGGUAUACUGAAUAUUAUGUACUUUGAUUGCAUAUUUGGUGAUGAGAUACCAGAGAACAAAGGAAGACU